ACUAAUUCUAAGGCUGUAGUUAUCGACACAUGGACGCAAUUAUCGACAGAUGUAUUGAUGUAAGCAGAGAUAGUAAAGACUGUGAUGGAUAAUGAGUUUAUUAAAGGCAGAAGACUUGUCUGAGACAGUUGAAGUAUAUGUAGUUGCUACUAUAAGCUCAGAGUCAGAUGGACCCACUUGCCUUCAGGAGAUAUUAAGGGGAAAAGGCCUGAUCACUUAAGAACUUAGUCAAAAUCUCUUUCUUGGAUAGUGAAUAACCUGAAAUAUAAAAUAAAGAUUCAUAGUCAUGGCAAAUGAGUUUAAAUAGAUGAAGAACAUAUUAAUAUAUAUAAGGACAUUUGUUUUGAAAUAUUUAGUAAAGAAGUUAUCAAAAUUACAUACAUUUGUAGUAUAAAAUACAUGAAUCAUAACAUCAUUAAAAGGUGCACUUCAUAGAUUAUUUCAGCAUAUAAUUUUUGUUUUCUGAUUUCAACAGAGUAUAUUCCAAAUUCAAGGUAAAACUUUUGCCAUCAGAUUUGCAUAGUUUAUAAAUUUGAGCUUUCUCCUCAGCAGAAGUCGAAACUGAAGGAGGUCCGGGCCUUGUUGGCAUUUCAGGAACUCUUCCCAAAUGGUUAUCUAAAAGGGUGGUCCUUGGAACCCCAUAUAGCCUGGCAGCCUUUACCUUCGACAUCCCAUUACAUCUCAUAGUUGACUUCAACUUCCCCUCAUUUUGGGUGGCAAGUAUUGGACCCUCUUAUGAUUUUGAGAUGACAUCUAGAACAGGAGUAAUAUUCUUUCAUGACUGUAUUGAAACCUAUCAUCUUUAUGACUUUAAAGUUUAAAAUUUGUCUGAGGUAGAACUAAAUGUUUACUGUUGAACAUUAUAUGUAAAUGGAUAAUUGAAUAAAACAUUGAUAUACUAUA